UACGGAGGGAGCUAGCGUUGUUCGGAAUUACUGGGCGUAAAGCGCACGUAGGCGGCUUUGUAAGUUAGAGGUGAAAGCCCGGGGCUCAACCCCGGAAUUGCCUUUAAGACUGCAUCGCUUGAAUCCGGGAGAGGUGAGUGGAAUUCCGAGUGUAGAGGUGAAAUUCGUAGAUAUUCGGAAGAACACCAGUGGCGAAGGCGGCUCACUGGACCGGGUAUUGACGCUGAGGUGCGAAAGCGUGGGGAGCGAUCCGG
rnacentral:rRNA from 1 species